rnacentral:rRNA from 1 species
UACGUAGGGUGCAAGCGUUAAUCGGAAUUACUGGGCGUAAAGCGUGCGCAGGCGGCUUUGCAAGACAGAUGUGAAAUCCCCGGGCUUAACCUGGGAACUGCAUUUGUGACUGCAUGGCUGGAGUGCGGCAGAGGGGGAUGGAAUUCCGCGUGUAGCAGUGAAAUGCGUAGAUAUGCGGAGGAACACCGAUGGCGAAGGCAGCCCCCUGGGCCGACAUUGACGCUCAGGCACGAAAGCGUGGGGAGCAAACAGG